rnacentral:rRNA from 1 species
GAUGAACGCUGGCGGCGUGCCUAAUACAUGCAAGUCGAGCGAACAGACGAGGAGCUUGCUCCUCUGACGUUAGCGGCGGACGGGUGAGUAACACGUGGAUAACCUACCUAUAAGACUGGGAUAACUUCGGGAAACCGGAGCUAAUACCGGAUAAUAUUUUGAACCGCAUGGUUCAAUAGUGAAAGACGGUUUUGCUGUCACUUAUAGAUGGAUCCGCGCCGCAUUAGCUAGUUGGUAAGGUAACGGCUUACCAAGGCAACGAUGCGUAGCCGACCUGAGAGGGUGAUCGGCCACACUGGAACUGAGACACGGUCCAGACUCCUACGGGAGGCAGCAGUAGGGAAUCUUCCGCAAAGGGCGAAAGCCUGACGGAGCAACGCCGCGUGAGUGAUGAGGGUCUUCGGAUCGUAAAACUCUGUUAUUAGGGAAGAACAAAUGUGUAAGUAACUAUGCACGUCUUGACGGUACCUAAUCAGAAAGCCACGGCUAACUACGUG